rnacentral:rRNA from 1 species
UUGGACAGCCUUCUGAAAGGAAGAUUAAUACAAGAUGGCAUCAUGAGUCCGCAUGUUCACAUGAUUAAAGGUAUUCCGGUAGACGAUGGGGAUGCGUUCCAUUAGAUAGUAGGCGGGGUAACGGCCCACCUAGUCUUCGAUGGAUAGGGGUUCUGAGAGGAAGGUCCCCCACAUUGGAACUGAGACACGGUCCAAACUCCUACGGGAGGCAGCAGUGAGGAAUAUUGGUCAAUGGGCGAGAGCCUGAACCAGCCAAGUAGCGUGAAGGAUGACUGCCCUAUGGGUUGUAAACUUCUUUUAUAAAGGAAUAAAGUCGGGUAUGUAUACCCGUUUGCAUGUACUUUAUGAAUAAGGAUCGGCUAACUCCGUGCCAGCAGCCGCGGUAAUACGGAGGAUCCGAGCGUUAUCCGGAUUUAUUGGGUUUAAAGGGAGCGUAGAUGGAUGUUUAAGUCAGUUGUGAAAGUUUGCGGCUCAACCGUAAAAUUGCAGUUGAUACUGGAUAUCUUGAGUGCAGUUGAGGCAGGCGGAAUUCGUGGUGUAGCGGUGAAAUGCUUAGAUAUCACGAAGAACUCCGAUUGCGAAGGCAGCCUGCUAAGCUGCAACUGACAUUGA